CCCGGUGACCAACUACAAGAAACAUAUUACCGCUGUACUAGGCAAUAAGGGUUUCUCCACCAAGUACUAAGUUGUGUUUGAGAUCAAAUACUUAUUACACUCAGUGACAUAUAAAUCAAUUCAUUUAUUUUAGCAAAUUCAUUUUUUAUUCAAUUUUGGUUGAUAUUCUGUCUCAUUACAUCAAAAUGAAAAUACUUAAAAAAAAUUAGAGACUGAUCCUUUUAUAUAAGUGAACAAACUUACAAAUUCAGCAGGGGAUCAAAUGAUUAUUUCCCCCCAGAUAGUAGCUUCUUUUUAUGACCAUCUUUUUUCUUUUUUCUCUUUUUGAAAAGCUGCUGACCAACAAAGUUUUAUUCAUAGAUGUUUUUUGCAUUAGAUAAAUUUGCAAACUGAACUCCACGCUUCCAGAAUCUCUCAGUUUGUUUGGCAGAGCUUACUUUUCAUUUUAAUUACUUGUUGUUUCUUUAUUGACUUAUAUAGAAACCCACAGAAGUUUGUUUAACUUAUGUAACAAAAGAAUAAAGCAACUAAAUUUAAGUAAAAGGAUCAUUUUAGUAUUUUUGAUCUAUUCUUUACAGAAUUUUUCCAAAACAUUUUCAAACAUUCAGAUUUGUCUUUUAUUUUCUUGUCGAAACCUCAUAAAUGGUGAACUAAAAACCCUGGAAUAUGGUUUGAAACGUUGACAUUUUAGUCUGAAAAGGAGCAUGUUUCGCUUUCUGGCAGCGUUUAUUUUGAAAUUGCAACACUAAUCAGUGCUUCUCCGCACCUGUGGAGCACGCGCUGAGCAGACCCCGUCGGGUAUGCGCUGCAGAGCACGCGCACCAGAGGAGGGGGCUGACUUGAGCAGAAAGCGCGGAGAGACAAGUCGAAAAGAAAAGACGGAAGAGCGCUGAUGAGGAAAAGCAGAAAGAAAGACUUUAACUGAGCUUGAAAUGAAACAAGAGCUAGCGAAUCUCUGCUGGACAGUACGCUGUCAUAGAACUUCCUGUGGAGGCUGAGGAGUGGGAUCCCCCUGAAGUUUGAGCACACCGCCUGUCUUGGACCAGAGUUACGCUGUCAUAGAACUUCCUGUGGAGGCUGAGGAGUGGGAUCCCCCUGAAGUUGGAGCACACCGCCUUUCUUGGACCAGAGUGGUUGUUCCCCGUUUUAUGAAACUCCAGAUCUCUAUACAAUGUUGUAUUUGCAUAUCCUAACUGGAUGGGAAGGAAAUGAAUUAAAUUAUUAAAUUAUUAUUAAGAAACAAUGCGAGUAAAGACAAAAGUUAUCUUUGAAAGUUUGGGAUUAGGAUUUUAAUCUCUAAAGGAUUUAACAUCAGUACAUCACAUCAGCGCAGCUUUGGUUUUAGUCCAUCAUUAACAAACUUCAUAAGUAAUGAAGUAAUCAAACUCAUAAUUUUAUAUAGCUAACAUAAUGUGGAUGUGUAAAAUGGAUAGCGCUCACUAAGCAGAAAUUAGUUAUGAUGAGUUUAUUUUAACAAGAUUUGCAAGUGUGCAGGGUCUGAGAUGCAGAUUCAGUGUGGCUAUCAAAUAUCUUUACUGAAGAAUUACAUUUGUGGUGUUUGUCUACAUUUAUAAAUCAACACCAACCCAACAGUAAUGUAUGAAUGCAUGUAACUAGGAUGUGAAAUAACAACGUAACUUUUAAGACUUCAUAUAUUCUGAUUUUAUAUUUAAAAAACAUCCUUGCUUAAGGUUGUCGUGAUCACAUGGUGUGAUACAGGAUAUCGACUCUCUGUGCUGAUUUUUUAACACACACACAGGCCUUCACCAAGAAAGAUGAUGCUGGUGUGAAUCUGAUGUUGCACCAGCUGGAUGGGAGUGAGAGACUUCUGAACCUUUCAGCUUUAUGACGGAUGACCACUGAAAUACAAGGUGACUCCUUCUAGUUCCUUUGUAUUCAAAUCCUGACUGAGAUGUAGGCUUCAAACAGAGUAGAGGAACUGACUGCAGAGGCCUGGUAUAGAUAAGGUAAACCUUUAAAAACGACCACAUUCAUAAUCUUGUUCAACAGCUGAAAGGAAAAGUCUAUUAGUUGGUGGAAGUGACCCAAACUGUCUAUUCUUACAUUCUUACAGUAAACAUGUUAGAGACAAAAGGUGUUCCUCAUUACAGGCAGGUUGUCUGGUUUACCCACUGUAGAAGUGCAGAAACUAAACAAUUACUUCAUAAAAGACAUGGAACAACAUUGAAGAGCCCCCUCGACAGGGCAUGACUAUACUAUACUAUACAAAAGGUGAAAGGUCACUCUUUCAAGAAGAUCAAUUUUGGACCAAAAAGAUGGUUUAAAAGAGGAGUGAAAGAGGCCAUCUAUGUCCACUGUGAACAACCAUCUUUGAACAGAGAUGGCAGCUUAUGACACCAACUGUCUGCCAUCUACAAUCCGGUUUUGAGAUCGUUCUCAGGCACGUCUUGCAUCAGAUGACGUCAAUAUGACCUAUGACAUAGUGUGACAGUAGUAAUAGUAGAGAUAAUAGACAGCAGUUUCUGUCACCCAAAACCUCUGGUGGUAAUGACCCAUGCCUUUCUUCAUGUGGGUCAACAGCUAAAUACUUCGUUACUCUACUUAAGUAGAAUUUUCAGGUAUCUGUACUUAACUUGAAUAUUUAUUUUUCUGACAACUUUUUACUUUUACAUUUGUGUGCAGUUUGUCUCACAGUGUGUUGCUAGCUAAAGGAUCAGCUGCUGUAUUUAAAAGGAAGAGAAAAGAAAGUGAGCCAACUUCACUGAGAGUUGGAGCAAGAUAAGAAAGACAGGACAGGACAGGAAGAAGAGAGGUUAAAACAAAGUACACUAACUUUGUGUUAUUUAAAUGUUACAUGAAAAUACUCUGUAGUUUGUGGGAUAAGAGGUUAGCUUGCAGUAUUGUGGUGAAUUUAUUGUAAAGCCCUGCAUUAUACUGAUCCUUAUGGUCAGUGUUGGGUUAUGUCAACUAAGGUAGGCCAAUUUAAAUAAUCUAAUAAAAGGUAGACUAAUAAAAUAGAAUUAUGUAAAAUUCAUAAACAAAUCAAAAAGAUUAACAAGAUGAGCCUACAGACACUCUAUAGUGCUCCUCUUGGCAAAGCAAGUGUGUUUGGCACAACAAAGCUUUCAGACCAUGAUUCUGCUUGCUACAACAGCCAGAAAGGAUAGGUUAAAAAAAACAUUCAGAAAAGAUGAGAAGGGAAAAAUGUCUUUUGGCUCCACCUGUAAAAUUAUUUUCUGUUUUGGGGGCCGUCUAAUUGUUGCCCCUCUAGUGCACCUGUUAAUGUCAUUAACACCAAAGCAGCUGAAACUGAUGAACAACCCCUUCUGUUAACUGAUCAGAUCAAUAUCCCAGAUUUUUAACUGACUUGAUACUAAACUAUGAUUAAUUCAGUUUUAUUUAUAUAGCACCAACAACAGUUGCCGCAAGGCGUUUCAUAUUGUUGGAUAAAGACCCCACAAUGAUAUGAAGAAAACAGAGAACUCCAACAAUCAUAUGAAGCAUAACUAAGGGAGGAUUCAGGGUCACCUGAUCCAGCCCUAACUAUACGAUUUAGCAAAUAGGAAGGUUUUAAAUCUAUUCUCAAAAGUAGAGAUAGUGUCUGUCUCCCAAAUCCAAACUGGAAGCUGCUUCCAUAGAAGAGGUUCCUGAAAACUGAAGGCUCUGCCUCCCAUUCUACUUCUAAAUACUCCACAAGUAAGCCCACAGUCUGAGAGCAAAAUGUACUAAUGGGUUGAUAGUAUAAGGUUUAGAUGGGGUCUGAUUAUUCAAGACCUUGUAUGUGAGGAACAGAACUUUAAAUUCAGUUCCAAUAUAGGAGAAAUAUGCUCUCUCUUUCUAGUCCCUCUCAGUACUCUUGCUGCUGCAUUUUGGAUUAACUUAAAGCUUUUCAGGGAGGUUUUGGCCAUCCUGAUAAUAACACCCUGAUAAAAACGGAUUAAAGUAGUUCAGCUUAGAAGUAAUAAAUACAUGAACUACUUUUUCAGCAUCACUCAAAGACAGAAUUUUUCUAACUUUAGAGAUGUUGCGCAAA